rnacentral:rRNA from 1 species
CCUACGGGUGGCAGCAGUGAGGAAUAUUGGGCAAUGGGGGCAACCCUGACCCAGCCACGCCGCGUGAGUGAAGAAGGUCUUCGGAUUGUAAAGCUCUUUCGGACGGGACGAGGAUGACGGUAGCGGCUAAAGAAGCACCGGCAAACUUCGAGCCAGCAGCCGCGGUAAUACGAAGGGUGCGAGCGUUGUUCGGAAUGACUGGGCGUAAAGGGAGUGGAGGCGGCUAUGUAAGAUAGCGGUGAAAUGCGGGGGCUCAACCCCGGAACUGCCAUUCUGACUCUGUAUCUAGAGUACUGGAGAGGCUAGCGGAAUCCCCAGUGUAGAGGUGAACUUCUUAGAUAUUGGGUAGAACACCGGUGGCGAAGGCGGCUCUCUGGCCAUUUACUGACGCUGAGGCUCGAAAGCCUGGGGAUCAAACAGGAUUAGAUACCCCUGUAGUC